rnacentral:tRNA from 1 species
GACCACAUGGCCUAAUGGAUAAGGCAUCUGACUUUGGAUCAGGAGAUUGAUGUUUUGAGCCCCUCUGUGGUUG